GUACUGCUGAUGAGUUCCAAACAGGACGAAACAGCUGUCCAGUGC
rnacentral:hammerhead_ribozyme from 1 species